rnacentral:rRNA from 1 species
GACAGAGGGUGCAAACGUUGUUCGGAAUUACUGGGCGUAAAGCGUGUGUAGGCGGUCCACUAAGUCGGGUGUGAAAGCCCUGGGCUCAACCCAGGAAGUGCACUCGAAACUGGCGGGCUAGAGUAUCGGAGAGGUUGGUGGAAUUCUCGGUGUAGAGGUGAAAUUCGUAGAUAUCGAGAGGAACACCGGUGGCGAAGGCGGCCAACUGGACGAAUACUGACGCUGAGGCACGAAAGCGUGGGGAGCAAACAGG